AUUGUANCCACUGAUCUCUAUAUAACACUGGAUAGCGCAUAGGCUCGCUCGGUUGACCCCUUUUGAGUAGGUGUCUGCCAUGUUGCUUGUAGUCAGUUUUCAAAUCCAAUAUGGCGAUUCCGGUGAUGGACUCUGAAUGACAUGUGUGACCUGUGAUUUAUUCUGGCUCUAUAAUUUCGAUCGGAUAGUGCUUUGUUAAUAUUUCGAGCAUAAAUUAUUUACUAUUAGAGAUACAAUGGUGCUAAUAUGUAAAUAUUGCGGUAAGAAAGGCGGAAUAGAAGGCAGAACUCUGCAUAAAUUUCCUUUGAAAGAUGCAGAGCUUCUGUCUGGCUG